GAUGGGAGUGUAGCAUUGAGCUAUGGUACAAGAGUGUAGCACUAGACUGCGGUAGAAGGAUGGCACUAGGCUAGGUAGGGAUUGUAGCACUGGGCUAUGUUGAGGGUGUAGUGAUGGGCUACAGUAGAAAUCUAGGUUACACAUAAUCUUAGGACAAAAGGUACAUUAAACUUAAGAUAAAAGAUAAAGAUUCAUUAGAUUGAUUGUUGAAAGAUCCUCUAUAGAAUAUGAUUCUACUU
rnacentral:lncRNA from 1 species